rnacentral:rRNA from 1 species
UACAGAGGGGGCAAGCGUUAUUCGGAAUUAUUGGGCGUAAAGAGCUCGUAGGCGGUUUGUCGCGUCGGCCGUGAAAUCUCCACGCUUAACGUGGAGCGUGCGGUCGAUACGGGCAGACUUGAGUUCGGUAGGGGAGACUGGAAUUCCUGGUGUAGCGGUGAAAUGCGCAGAUAUCAGGAGGAACACCGGUGGCGAAGGCGGUUCUCUGGGCAUUACCUGACGCUGAGGAGCGAAAGCAUGGGGAGCGAACAGG